GACGAACGCUGGCGGCGUGCUUAACACAUGCAAGUCGAACGGAAAGGCCCUGCUUUUGUGGGGUGCUCGAAUGGCGAACGGGUGAGUAACACGUGAGUAACCUGCCCUUGACUUUGGGAUAACUUCAGGAAACUGGGGCUAAUACCGGAUAGGAGCUCCUGCUGCAUGGUGGGGGUUGGAAAGUUUCGGCGGUUGGGGAUGGACUCGCGGCUUAUCAGCUUGUUGGUGGGGUAGUGGCUUACCAAGGCUUUGACGGGUAGCCGGCCUGAGAGGGUGACCGGCCACAUUGGGACUGAGAUACGGCCCAGACUCCUACGGGAGGCAGCAGUGGGGAAUAUUGCACAAUGGGCGGAAGCCUGAUGCAGCAACGCCGCGUGCGGGAUGACGGCCUUCGGGUUGUAAACCGCUUUCGCCUGUGACGAAGCGUGAGUGACGGUAAUGGGUAAAGAAGCACCGGCUAACUACGUGCCAGCAGCCGCGGUGAUACGUAGGGUGCGAGCGUUGUCCGGAUUUAUUGGGCGUAAAGGGCUCGUAGGUGGUUGAUCGCGUCGGAAGUGUAAUCUUGGGGCUUAACCCUGAGCGUGCUUUCGAUACGGGUUGACUUGAGGAAGGUAGGGGAGAAUGGAAUUCCUGGUGGAGCGGUGGAAUGCGCAGAUAUCAGGAGGAACACCAGUGGCGAAGGCGGUUCUCUGGGCCUUUCCUGACGCUGAGGAGCGAAAGCGUGGGGAGCGAACAGGCUUAGAUACCCUGGUAGUCCACGCUGUAAACGGUGGGUACUAGGUGUGGGGUCCAUUCCACGGGUUCCGUGCCGUAGCUAACGCUUUAAGUACCCCGCCUGGGGAGUACGGCCGCAAGGCUAAAACUCAAAGGAAUUGACGGGGCCCCGCACAAGCGGCGGAGCAUGCGGAUUAAUUCGAUGCAACGCGUAGAACCUUACCUGGGUUUGACAUGGAUCGGGAGUGCUCAGAGAUGGGUGUGCCUCUUUUGGGGUCGGUUCACAGGUGGUGCAUGCCUGUCGUCAGCUCGUGUCGUGAGAUGUUGGGUUAAGUCCCGCAACGAGCGCAACCCUUGUUCACUGUUGCCAGCACGUUAUGGUGGGGACUCAGUGGAGACCGCCGGGGUCAACUCGGAGGAAGGUGGGGAUGACGUCGAGUCCUCAUGCCCCUUAUGUCCAGGGCUUCACGCAUGCUACAAUGGCUGGUACAGAGAGUGGCGAGCCUGUGAGGGUGAGCGAAUCUCGGAAAGCCGGUCUCAGUUCGGAUUGGGGUCUGCAACUCGACCUCAUGAAGUCGGAGUCGCUAGUAAUCGCAGAUCAGCAACGCUGCGGUGAAUACGUUCCCGGG
rnacentral:rRNA from 1 species